UGAGGCUCAGUGGGAGAGCGUCUGCUUGCAUGCAGAAGGGCCCAGGUUCAAAUCGUGACAUCUCAU